GAACCACAGAGACACAAACCCACACUUGGGAAAAAUCUUUGUGAUCCUUUCAAAUUUUUGAGCUGACUUCGUGGCAAAACGUAAGUUUAUUUCUUGUGAAGCUUGUGAACAGCUUGCUCCAGAAACAGAGGCAUCAGCAAUUGCUGCUCAUCUGUGACUUUGUGAUUGAUGACUGAUGUUUGGUCUGCUGUUGUCUCGUCGGAAACUUUUAAAGGCAUUCGUCUAUUUUAGGACGGUUGAUCUAGUAGAGACUACACAGUACAGUGGGUAAGUCCUUGUUCUUGGGAAUCCAUGUAGAAACUAUUAUGUCUCAAUGGGCUGAAGGUGGCUAAACAAUCCUCCCAUGUCUGUAUCCUUUAAGCACAAAUCCUAAGUAACACCAGACAGGGAACCUUCAAAAAGGCAGGGUGAGUGGCUGAUGUCGGUCUUAAUUUAACUUCUAGGAAAACUUAAUUGAAUUAAAUUGUGAACUCCAUCAAAGGACUCUCAGGAGUAGAGUAAUAGAACCUGGAAUUUCUUUGAAAUUCCCCACUUUUUUCCUACCAUCAGUCACAAGUACUUCCUGUUUUAACAUUCUGGUCUGUUGUGACAACAGACUACCCCAAUGCAAUUGGGCAAAAUAUGCUCAAUAUGCUUUUUAAAUAAAUGUGAUAUACUUAAAAGCACACUUUCAGAGCUUUCAGUCGCAAGUGGAAAUGCAAGGACCAUACUGUAAAUGGGGAGUACUUGGUUGAUCACAGAAAAAUCCUCUUUAGAAUUACAAUUCAAGGAUGUGGUCUUUCCCCCUCAAGCCUAGAGAUUAAGACUACUAAAUUGUCCUGAAGAUCUGGGUUGAUGUGCCCAUGGAUGCUCACUGCAGAAUAAAUGCACUGCUGUAUUGCCUAAAUAUUUGCUGUCCUUCAAAUCUGGCAUGAGAUGAGAUGAACCUCGUUUCCAAUACAUAUGUGUAUAUAUAGGAAUAUAUAUACUAAUUAGAGC
rnacentral:lncRNA from 1 species